AUGAAAAUAUUAUCGUGGAACUGCCGGGGCCUUGGGAACGCCCCGGCAGUGCGUGCUCUGCUGGAUGUUUAGCGGAGAUGUGCCCCUGAGGUGGUGUUUUUGUCGGAGACCCACCUUGACAGUUAUCCGACAGAAUGUUUAAGGAGAAGAAUGAAGAUGGACCAGAAACUAGUGUGCACGAGUAAUGGUAGAAGUGGUGGUUUAAUUCUUUUUUGGAAUAAUCAUAUCAAUGUACGUAGGCUUGCCCUAGAUGCUAUGUUCAUUGAUGUAAUAAUUGAGGAUAAUAAUAACAAUCCGGUUUGGCGCUUGACUGGGAUGUACGGUGAGUUUAGAUGGGCGAAUAAACACCUCACCUGGUCACGUAUGCGACAACUUCACCAGAGUCAGAACUUGUCGUGGCUCUUGAUUGGUGAUCUGAAUGAAAUCCAGUUUCUUCAUGAGAAGGAAGGAGGCAAUCCGUGUCCGGCACAAUAUAUGCAGGCUUUCCAAGAAGCAAUUGAUGAUUAUGUGUUACAUGAUAUGGGCUUCCUCGGAGACCCGUUCACAUGGAGACGUGGAAUGAUAAGAGAAAGACUAGACAGAGGUCUGGUGAAUGAUGCAUGGGCGAGCUUGUUUACUAAUGCGGCAUUGCAGAACUUGGAAUUCAAUCACUCUAACCACAGACCUCUUCUAGUGGAUACAGAGUUCUACACACACCAACAGCUGGCCAGAAUAAUGUACAAGUGA
rnacentral:rRNA from 1 species